rnacentral:rRNA from 12 species
UUCUGUGAUAGAUAAAUCUUUAAUAUGUGUGAUUUUGCUAGAGCAUUGUGGAAAUGAUCUCAGAAGCUAAGCAGGACCAUGCCUGGUUAGCACUUGGAUGGGAGACCAACUUGGAAGACCAGGGGUCGCCAUCC